rfam:Salmo salar isolate Sally breed double haploid chromosome ssa01, whole genome shotgun sequence.
CCCUGUGGCUCAGUUGGUAGAGCAUGGUGUUUGCAACGCCAGCAUGGUGUGUGCAACGCCAGGGUUGUGGGUUCAAUUCCCACAGGGG